GAUGAACGCUAGCUACAGGCUUAACACAUGCAAGUCGCGGGGCAGCAUGGGGGUUGCUUGCAAUCCCCGAUGGCGACCGGCGCACGGGUGAGUAACGCGUAUCCAACCUGCCCUUCACCACGGGAUAACCCGGCGAAAGUCGGACUAAUACCGUAUGUUGUCCAUUGACGGCAUCCGAUUUGGACGAAAGGCUUGGCGGUGAGGGAUGGGGAUGCGUCCGAUUAGCCAGACGGCGGGGUAACGGCCCACCGUGGCUACGAUCGGUAGGGGUUCUGAGAGGAAGGUCCCCCACACUGGAACUGAGACACGGUCCAGACUCCUACGGGAGGCAGCAGUGAGGAAGAUUGGUCAAUGGGCGUAAGCCUGAACCAGCCAAGUAGCGUGCAGGAGGACGGCCCUAUGGGUUGUAAACUGCUUUUAUGCGGGGAUAAAGUGGCCCACGUGUGGGCUUUUGCAGGUACCGCAUGAAUAAGGACCGGCUAAUUCCGUG
rnacentral:rRNA from 1 species